UGGAGAGGCACCAGCUAUAGCCUCUAUGCCCUUGAUAUUGCACUCUAACUUUUAACAAGCAUUAUGAAGUCUCUUCAUGGUCAGCAAGUUUCUUCUAUGAACGUCAUCAUGCCACGAGACAAACUUGAUCUUGGAGAAUAAUUGCAUGUUUCCACAUUAUCGGUUGUCAUUUUGUGCUCCACAUGGAGAAGAGACAAGGAGUGGACUAUAUCAUCUGCAAAACAUAUUCCACUCACAAAACUGUUGGCUACUCACCAGAACAAUCAUCUUCCAUUCAGGAAGGCAACUUGGUUUUGGCUGCAGAAGUCAGCCGUUCCACUCCAUGAUUGGCUGACCUGAGGCCUAAACAGGCUGCCAAUGGAACUAAAGCCCAACAAUCAGUUAAGGCCUUCACCACGACAAGAGAACCAUAAUUCAGGAUAGGAGAAAGUAAACCUGAUAUGAUUGGUAGUAUGGACAUGAUAUUGGCUCUGUGGUCUCACGUUAAAGGUCCAUCAAUUGUUUGUUUAAGAAUAGCUGCCUGGGCCAAAGGAGAAAAUGGCAAAAUACCAUUGGCUUAUUCUCAACUCAAUUCUCCUUUCCCAAGGUCUGACCUCAGAUCACUUUGUAUAGCUACAACACAGAGAAUUGAGGACACAAGGUUUUCUGGAAAAAUGCAAAUAACUUGAUGAACAAAACAGACCAUUCGGCCCCACAAGCCUGUUUCAACAUUCAACAAGUUUGAU